GACAAGGUUCCAGGCCCUACGGGGUGCAGCAGGCGCGAAACCUCCGCAAUGUGAGAAAUCGCGACGGGGGGAUCCCAAGUGCCAUUCUUAACGGGAUGGCUUUUCAUUAGUGUAAAAAGCUUUUGGAAUAAGAGCUGGGCAAGACCGGUGCCAGCCGCCGCGGUAACACCGGCAGCUCUAGUGGUAGCAAUUUUUAUUGGGCCUAAAGCGUCCGUAGCCGGUUUAAUAAGUCUCUGGUGAAAUCCUGUAGCUUAACUGUGGGAAUUGCUGGAGAUACUAUUAGACUUGAGACCGGGAGAGGUUAGAGGUACUCCCAGGGUAGAGGUGAAAUUCUGUAAUCCUGGGAGGACCGCCUGUUGCGAAGGCGUCUAACUGGAACGGUUCUGACGGUGAGGGACGAAAGUUAGGGGCGCGAACCGGAUUAGAUACCCGGGUAGUCCUAACUGUAAACGAUGCGGACUUGGUGUUGGGGUGGCUUUGAGCUGCUCCAGUGCCGAAGGGAAGCUGUUAAGUCCGCCGCCUGGGAAGUACGGUCGCAAGACUGAAACUUAA
rnacentral:rRNA from 1 species